AGAGUUUGAUCAUGGCUCAGAUUGAACGCUGGCGGUAUGCUUAACACAUGCAAGUCGAACGGAAACGAUACUAGCUUGCUAGUAGGCGUCGAGUGGCGGACGGGUGAGUAACGCGUAGGAAUCUACCUAAUAGUGGGGGAUAGCCCGGAGAAAUCCGGAUUAAUACCGCAUAAUCUCUAUGGAGUAAAGGGGCCCUCUUCUUGAAAGGUUUCGCUAUCAGAUGAGCCUGCGUAAGAUUAGCUAGUUGGUGAGGUAAAAGCUCACCAAGGCGACGAUCUUUAGCUGGUCUGAGAGGAUGAUCAGCCACACUGGGACUGAGACACGGCCCAGACUCCUACCGGGAGGCAGCAGUGGGGAAUAUUGGACAAUGGGGGCAACCCUGAUCCAGCAAUACCGCGUGUGUGAAGAAGGCCUGAGGGUUGUAAAGCACUUUCAAUUGUGAAGAAAAGUUAAUAGUUAAUAACUAUUAG
rnacentral:rRNA from 1 species